rnacentral:ncRNA from 1 species
UGAAGGUCUUGCGCGAGCAAGCUAAGAGGGAACGCUGAAGAGCAUAUAAGGUUCAGGCAGCGGCUGCCCCCGCAACUGUGAACGGUGAAUGACCGCAAGUAUACCACUGGCUCUCUAUUGGGGCUGGGAAGGUGCGGUUUCAUGACGAUCUGUGAGCCAGGAGACCUGCCUUCAUCUC